GGGGAGACAAGGAGAGAGUCGCAAUUUUUUGGGUUUUUUUUUUUUUCAUUUUAUUUUUGGUUUCCCAACAAAUUGAAGAAUUGUGGUGGGCGAAAUCGAAGCUUCCCUCUCAUCAUCUGUAGACUGUAGUUAUCUCUGCUUGAGGAGCCCCUAAUCAAACAAUGGUGGUGGAUCAAUGGAGGUGAUGCUCUUCUUCUUCUUCUAUCCAUUUACAAGAACAAGAGACAAGCAGCCGCAGCACCACCGCCGUACCUCAUCUUCAUCGUCUCGGACAUGGGGAUUCCCUUCGCCGCCACUCUUCGUUUCCGGUCUUCGGCAAUCGACUCCUUCUGCUUCGCCUGUGAGGCCUUCUCCGAUCCAAUCUUCGUCCUCACCCUUCUUCUGUAACCAUUCCUCCUUCUCUUCUUCUUCUUCUACUUCUUCCUCUUCCUCCGGACUAUUAGAUUAGAUAUCUGCCAUGGACGAGGCUGACUUCGUCCAGAAAGAUCCCACUGGUCGCUACAUUGGGUCUGAUGACGUUCUAGGGAGAGGAGCCUUCAAAAAUUGUCUACAAGGCAUUUGAAGGGAUCGAAGUUGCUUGGAACCUAAUGAGCAUCGACAAUGUAUUGCAGAUGCCUGGCCAACUUGAUAGACUUUACUCUGAAGUCCAUCUCCUCAAAUCUCUUAAUCAUGAUAACAUCAUCAAACUCUUCUACUCCUGGGUUGAUGAUACUAACAAAGCCAUCAACAUGAUCACUGAGCUUUUCACCUCUGGCAGUCUCAGCCUGUAUGUCUUCUUACUAACCCCUCUUCUCUCUCUCUCUCUUUUUGGGAUUUGCUGCCAUACUCUUUUAUCUUUUUUGGUUUUGUUUCACUGCUUUAUUAAAUUCUUCUUGAAAAGGGUCUUCCAUUUCUCGCCGCUUUGGUUUUGUAAUUGUGCAUAUUGCAACAGAAACCACAUAUUGAACGAAUGAGAAAUGUUACUGAUGUUAAUAACAUGCUAUAAUAAGCUGA